rnacentral:rRNA from 1 species
GAACGCUAGCUACAGGCUUAACACAUGCAAGUCGAGGGGCAUCAGGAAGAAAGCUUGCUUUCUUUGCUGGCGACCGGCGCACGGGUGAGUAACACGUAUCCAACCUGCCCUUUACUCGGGGAUAGCCUUUCGAAAGAAAGAUUAAUACCCGAUAGUAUAAUGAUUCCGCAUGGUUUGAUUAUUAAAGGAUUCCGGUAAAGGAUGGGGAUGCGUUCCAUUAGGUUGUUGGUGAGGUAACGGCUCACCAAGCCUUCGAUGGAUAGGGGUUCUGAGAGGAAGGUCCCCCACAUUGGAACUGAGACACGGUCCAAACUCCUACGGGAGGCAGCAGUGAGGAAUAUUGGUCAAUGGGCGGUAGCCUGAACCAGCCAAGUAGCGUGAAGGAUGAAGGCUCUAUGGGUCGUAAACUUCUUUUAUAUAAGAAUAAAGUGCAGUAUGUAUACUGUUUUGUAUGUAUUAUAUGAAUAAGGAUCGGCUAACUCCGUGCCAGCAGCCGCGGUAAUACGGAGGAUCCGAGCGUUAUCCGGAUUUAUUGGGUUUAAAGGGAGCGUAGGUGGACUGGUAAGUCAGUUGUGAAAGUUUGCGGCUCAACCGUAAAAUUGCAGUUGAUACUGUCAGUCUUGAGUACAGUAGAGGUGGGCGGAAUUCGUGGUGUAGCGGUGAAAUGCUUAGAUAUCACGAAGAACUCCGAUUGCGAAGGCAGCUCACUGGACUGCAACUGACACUGAUGCUCGAAAGUGUGGGUAUCAAACAGGAUUAGAUACCCUGGUAGUCCACACAGUAAACGAUGAAUACUCGCUGUUUGCGAUAUACAGUAAGCGGCCAAGCGAAAGCAUUAAGUAUUCCACCUGGGGAGUACGCCGGCAACGGUGAAACUCAAAGGAAUUGACGGGGGCCCGCACAAGCGGAGGAACAUGUGGUUUAAUUCGAUGAUACGCGAGGAACCUUACCCGGGCUUAAAUUGCAGUGGAAUGAUGUGGAAACAUGUCAGUGAGCAAUCAUCGCUGUGAAGGUGCUGCAUGGUUGUCGUCAGCUCGUGCCGUGAGGUGUCGGCUUAAGUGCCAUAACGAGCGCAACCCUUAUCUUUAGUUACUAACAGGUCAUGCUGAGGACUCUAGAGAGACUGCCGUCGUAAGAUGUGAGGAAGGUGGGGAUGACGUCAAAUCAGCACGGCCCUUACGUCCGGGGCUACACACGUGUUACAAUGGGGGGUACAGAAGGCAGCUAGCGGGUGACCGUAUGCUAAUCCCAAAAGCCUCUCUCAGUUCGGAUCGAAGUCUGCAACCCGACUUCGUGAAGCUGGAUUCGCUAGUAAUCGCGCAUCAGCCACGGCGCGGUGAAUACGUUCCCGGGCCUUGUACACACCGCCCGUCAAGCCAUGGGAGCCGGGGGUACCUGAAGUACGUAACCGCAAGGAUCGUCCUAGGGUAAAACUGGUGACUG